rnacentral:rRNA from 1 species
UACGUAGGGUGCGAGCGUUGUCCGGAAUUAUUGGGCGUAAAGGGCUCGUAGGCGGUUUGUCGCGUCGGGAGUGAAAACCAGGUGCUUAACACCUGGCUUGCUUUCGAUACGGGCAGACUAGAGGCAUGCAGGGGAGGAACGGAAUUCCUGGUGUAGCGGUGGAAAUGACGCAGAUAUCUGAGGAAGAACGAGCCGAGUGG